AGACCGAUAGCGAACAAGUAGAGUGAUCGAAAGAUGAAAAGUACUUUGAAAAGAGGGUUAAAUAGCACGUGAAAUUGUUGAAAGGGAAGCGUUUAUGACCAGACCUUCGUCGGGCGGAUCAUCCGGUGUUCUUCACCGGUGCACUUCGCCCGGCUUAGGCCAGCAUCGGUUUUCGUAGGGGGAUAAAGGCCUAGGGAAUGUGGCUCCCUCCGGGGAGUGUUAUAGCCCUGGGCGUAAUACCUUUAUGGGGACCGAGGUUCGCGCUCCGGCAAGGAUGCUGGCGUAAUGGUCAUCAACGACCCGUCUUGAAACACGGACCAAG
rnacentral:rRNA from 2 species